GCCUGAUGGAGGGGAGCGGCAGACGGGAGAGUAACACGUGGGAACGUACCCUUUGGUUCGGAACAACCCAGGGAAACUUGGGCUAAUACCGAAUAAGCCCUUACGGGGAAAGAUUUAUCGCCGAAGGAUCGGCCCGCGUCUGAUUAGCUAGUUGGUGAGGUAACGGCUCACCAAGGCGACGAUCAGUAGCUGGUCUGAGAGGAUGAUCAGCCUCACUGGGACUGAGACACGGCCCAGACUCCUACGGGAGGCAGCAGUGGGGAAUAUUGGACAAUGGGCGCAAGCCUGAUCCAGCCAUGCCGCGUGGGUGAUGAAGGCCCUAGGG
rnacentral:rRNA from 1 species